CGUAGGGUGCGAGCGUUAAUCGGAAUUACUGGGCGUAAAGCGUGCGCAGGCGGUUUUGUAAGACAGGCGUGAAAUCCCCGGGCUCAACCUGGGAACUGCGCUUGUGACUGCAAGGCUAGAGUACGGCAGAGGGGGGUGGAAUUCCACGUGUAGCAGUGAAAAUGCGUAGAGAUGUGGAGGAACACCAAUGGCGAAGGCAGCCCCCUGGGUCGAUACUGACGCUCAUGCACGAAAGCGUGGGUAGCAAACAGGAUUAGAUACCCUGGUAGUCCACGCCCUAAACGAUGUCAACUAGGUGUUGGGUGGGUAAAACCAUUUAGUACCGGAGCUAACGCGUGAAGUUGACCGCCUGGGGAGUACGGCCGCAAGGUUA
rnacentral:rRNA from 1 species